AGAAAGUUAGUCUAACUAAGACAGUUGGUUUCGGCCCAACAAAUUAUAGCUAAUCCUAUAACUUUCUU
rnacentral:tRNA from 1 species